rnacentral:rRNA from 1 species
CGUGAAAUUGUUGAAAGGGAAACGCUUGAAGUCAGUCGCGUUUGGCGGGACUCAGCCUUGCUUUUGCUUGGUGUACUUCCUGUCAGACGGGUCAACAUCAGUUUUGACCGGUGGAUAAGGGCUUGGAGAAUGUGGCAUCUUCGGGUGUGUUAUAGCUUCAGGUCGUAUACAUCGGUUGGGACUGAGGAACUCAGCACGCCGAAAGGUCCG